rnacentral:rRNA from 1 species
GACGAACGCUGGCGGCGUGCUUAACACAUGCAAGUCGAACGGAAAGGCCCUGCUUUUGUGGGGUGCUCGAGUGGCGAACGGGUGAGUAACACGUGAGUAACCUGCCCUCGACUUUGGGAUAACUUCAGGAAACUGGGGCUAAUACCGGAUAGGAGCUCCUGCUGCAUGGUGGGGGUUGGAAAGUUUCGGCGGUUGGGGAUGGACUCGCGGCUUAUCAGCUUGUUGGUGGGGUAGUGGCUUACCAGGGCUUUGACGGGUAGCCGGCCUGAGAGGGUGACCGGCCACAUUGGGACUGAGAUACGGCCCAGACUCCUACGGGAGGCAGCAGUGGGGAAUAUUGCACAAUGGGCGGAAGCCUGAUGCAGCAACGCCGCGUGCGGGAUGACGGCCUUCGGGUUGUAAACCGCUUUCGCCUGUGACGAAGCGUGAGUGACGGUAAUGGGUAAAGAAGCACCGGCUAACUACGUG